AUUGAACGCUGGCGGCAGGCUUAACACAUGCAAGUCGAGCGGAGAGAGGUAGCUUGCUACUGAUCUUAGCGGCGGACGGGUGAGUAAUGCUUAGGAAUCUGCCUAUUAGUGGGGGACAACAUUUCGAAAGGAAUGCUAAUACCGCAUACGUCCUACGGGAGAAAGCAGGGGAUCUUCGGACCUUGCGCUAAUAGAUGAGCCUAAGUCGGAUUAGCUAGUUGGUGGGGUAAAGGCCUACCAAGGCGACGAUCUGUAGCGGGUCUGAGAGGAUGAGCCGCAACACUGGGACUGAGACACGGCCUAGACUCGUACGGAAGGCAGCAGUGGGGAAUAUUGGACAAUGGGCGCAAGCCUGAUCCAGCCAUGACGCGUGUGUGAAGAAGGCCUUAUGGUUGUAAAGCACUUUAAGCGAGGAGGAGGCUACUUUAGUUAAUACCUAGAGAUAGUGGACGUUACUCGCAGAAUAAGCACCGGCUAACUCUGUGCCAGCCGCCGCGGUAA
rnacentral:rRNA from 1 species